ensembl:misc_RNA Metazoa_SRP Metazoan signal recognition particle RNA
GCCAGGCGUGGUGGCACCCGCCUGUAAUCCCAGUUACUCAGGAGGCUGAGGCAGAAGAAUUGCUUGAACCCAGGAGGCAGAGGUUGCAGUGAGCUAAGAUGGCACCACUGCACUCCAGCCUGGGUGACAGAGCAAGACUCUGUCUCAA